rnacentral:rRNA from 1 species
GACAGAGGCCUCGAGCGUUAGGCGGAAUCACUGGGCUUAAAGCGUGUGUAGGCGGACCCCUAAGUGUCUUGUGAAAUCCCACGGCUCACCCGUGGAACUGCUGGGCAUACUGGGGGUCUUGGGCCGUUCAGGGGCGACUGGAACAAGCGGUGGAGCGGUGAAAUGCGUAGAUAUCGCUUGGAACGCCGAAGGUGAAAACAGGUCGCUGGGGACGCGCCGACGCUGAGACACGAAAGCCAGGGGAGCAAACGGG